CCUGUCUGAAGCUAAUGCCUAUACUUGGGCUCUUAGUCUCACCCCUGCCACCUUCUCAGGGACUAAUGGUUAGCAGCGAUCCUCUAACUCAGUCCUUUAUUUCCGAUUCCACUUGCUCUUUCCCAGUCACAUUAAAAUGUGCUCAAAUCUCCUUAUCUUUGAAAGAAAUACUCUGGACCCCUUUAGCUGCCACCUUACCGCACUGUGUCCAUUCACAGCCAAGCCUCUUGAAAGCAUUAACUGCCCUCAGUGUCUACUUCCCUACUCAUUUUCCAGCCCUCUGCCCCCACCACAGCUGCUUUCACCAAAUUACCAACAACCUCCUGGUUGCUGAAAAUCAGAGGAUGUUCUUAGUUCUUCACUUGACCACCCCCUUUUUGAAAAAAAGAAUUUGCUUGACGUCUGUAGUUUCGCAUUCCUGGUUUUUCCCUUGCCUCUCUGGCUCCUCCUUGUCAGUCCCUGUUCAAAGAGGCAGUGCUGUCUGGAUUAGUGGUCAGCCAUGGUACUUAAGAACCUGGGCUUGGGAGACAGGUCUGGGUUCAUAUGCGGCUUCCACUUCUCAGAGUUUCAGUUUCUUCAACUAAAAUGGCAACAUAUAAGUCUUUUUGUGAAGCCCUAAUAUUACCAAGUCAAUGGAAUUACCCUUUUAAGGUCGUUAGUACUGUGUUUGACACACAGUAAGCAGGCAUGCACUAAACUCCCCUGACUCUCCAAGCUUAUAAUAGGUGCUCCUCCUAUGUGCUACCAUAUUAUCCUUUAUCUUUCUCAUUAGGCUCCAGAGAGGAGGGGCCCUGUCACCCUUCUCCACUGUCGUAUCAGUCUAGCACACGGCCAGGCACACAUUAGGCACCCUGGAAAUACCUGUUGACUGCUUCAAGUGUUUAAUAUAUGGCAAAGGUGAUACUUUAAAUCAGUGGGGCAAAGGAUUAUUGAUAAAUAAUGAUGCAUAAUUGAUAAAUGGAAAACUAUUUGUGAAAAUAUAAAAGGUAGAUCCUUACCAUUUACUAAAGUAGUUUUCAGAUGGAUUAAAUAGUGACAUUAAAAACAAAAAUUGCCCGGGCACAGCGGCUCAGGCCUAUAAUCCCAGCACUUUGCGAGGCUGGUCUUGAACUCCUGACCUGAAGUGAUCCACCCGCCUCGGCCUCCGAAAGUGCUGGGAUUAUAGGCAUGAGCCACCGCACUCGACUGAGCAUCAUUUUUAUUUCAGACUGAAUGAGAUAUAAUUAAUACAUUAAAAAUCAACUUAUUCUAUAUUCCAAAACUGUAGAACUCCUAAAAUGUAUCCCAGAGUCAAUAAUAAAGUUAUCCACUCACUUCAUUAGAGGAAGAGUUUGAGCUUUGGUGUCAGAAAGGUAGCACCUGGAAUCCAAGCUCUGCCACUUAAUAACUAUGACCCUGGGCAAGCUAUUUAUCCCUCAAGUCUCAGCUCCUCCAUCUGUAAAAUGGUGUAUUAAUGCCUAUCUCAAAGGGUUGUGGUGAGGUUUAAGUGAGCUAACUUACAUAAAGCACUGGCUGUAAUAAGGUACUCGAUAAUUGGUAGCUGCAUUCUAAACCAUCAAGUUUACUGUUAGCCACUUCUCUCUUCAGAGGUUCACUUAAGAUGACUGCAAGGUGAGAAGAUUCACAACCUGAGUUACGAGCUUAAGCACCUUAAAAUCCUUUAGGAGCAAAGGACUGACUUUAGUUACUCUUCUCCCAGUAGUUGGCCCCAUUCCCUUGCUUUCCAUCACUGUAUAAAGAAGCUCAAUUCUGGCAUGAUAUGAAACAAACCAUAUUUUACUUGACUCAAAAACUUCUCCUAAUGGAGGAAUAAACACUAUUGUUAGGUUGGAAACUGAAUGUUAGUCACAGAUACGGUCUGUAAUUUUCUAAUCAUGAGAGAUGUUACCUGGAUGCUGAAAAAUGCCAAAUCUCAAAAUCCUGAGGGGAGGAUUCAUUACUAAAUAAAGAAUGGCUAGCACAAGGAAUGGGAAAGAAAACUAAGGUUUUCUGAGUGUCUUUUCCAAGGACUCUUUAUAGUGCUGGGCAGGUUCCCAUUCCUUAUUUAAUCUUCUCAACAACACUAUAAGGUAGCAUCUUUUUAGGGUACCAUGUCCUGGGUCUUGCCUGUUGCCCUACUGUCAUCUUACUUUCUAUUAUCUGUAUUUUAUGGUUGAAGAAAUGGAAUCCAAAGGAAGGUAUUUAAAUAUUCUGUGCAUGGUUAUAAAGCCAGAACACUCCUCCUUUCUGCAGUUAGAUUUCUUCUAAGAAUAUCCCAUGCAUACCUUGUCCAACUGCAGCCUGGCUUCUCUAACAAAGCCACCAUGACCUGCUGUUUGCUGAAUCCAUGGUCGCUCAGGUCUUCAUCUUACGUGACCUCUGUGCAGCACUUUAUACUGUUGGCCGCUCCCCUCUCUUCUGUGCUCUCUCUUUGGCUUCUGUGGCAACAUUUCCUGCUUGGCCUCUUUCACCCUCUAGCUCUUCCUUUGUGGUGUCCUUUUCUCCUCCCCAAACCUCUGUAGAUUGCACUUCGUCCUUAAGGGGAUCUGAUCCUUGACUGGCUACAGCUGCUAUCUGCCAAUAAUUCCCACACCUAUAACUCUAGCCCAGAGCUGUCUUUCAGGAUCCAGUCCUAUAUAUCCAACAAGAUCUGGACAUGUGCCUGCCUGCCCGAGUUACCUCAUACAGCUAACUAAAAAUUCAUCACUUUCCUUCCCAAAGUCCUCUUCCAGCAGUUCCUUUUUCUGCCAGUGGACUCACCAUCCUCCUAGUCAUCCAGGCCAGACACGGGUGUCAUCCUUGACUCCUCCCUUUGCCUUAGACCCCUACCCAAAUUAUCAAGUCCUGCAAUUCUCUCUUCAUUUCAUCUC
rnacentral:lncRNA from 1 species